UACGAGGGGGGCGAGCGUUGUUCGGAAUUAUUGGGCGUAAAGGGCGCGUAGGCGGUGCGGUAAGUCACCUGUGAAACCUCUAGGCUUAACCUAGAGCCUGCAGGCGAAACUGCCGUGCUGGAGUGUGGGAGAGGUGCGUGGAAUUCCCGGUGUAGCGGUGAAAUGCGUAGAUAUCAGGAAGAACACCAAUGGCGAAAGCAGCUUUCUGGGAUGGUACUGACGCUGAGACGCGAAAGCGUGGGGAGCGAACAGG
rnacentral:rRNA from 1 species